rnacentral:rRNA from 1 species
GACGAACGCUGGCGGCGUGCUUAACACAUGCAAGUCGAACGGAAAGGCCCUGCUUUUGUGGGGUGCUCGAGUGGCGAACGGGUGAGUAACACGUGAGUAACCUGCCCUUGACUUUAGGAUAACUUCAGGAAACUGGGGCUAAUACCGGAUAGGAGCUCCUGCUGCAUGGUGGGGGUUGGAAAGUUUCGGCGGUUGGGGAUGGACUCGCGGCUUAUCAGCUUGUUGGUGGGGUAGUGGCUUACCAAGGCUUUGACGGGUAGCCGGCCUGAGAGGGUGACCGGGCACAUUGGGACUGAGAUACGGCACAGCCUCCUACGGGCGGCAGCAGUGAGGACUAUUGCACAAUGGGCGGAAGCCUGAUGCAGCAACGCCGCGUGCGUGAUGACGGCCGUCGGGUUGUAAACCGCUUUCGCCUGUGACGAAGCGUGAGUGACGGUAAUGGGUAAAGAAGCACCGGCUAACUACGUG